rnacentral:rRNA from 1 species
UACGGGGGGGGUAAGCGUUGUUCGGAAUUACUGGGCGUAAAGGGCUCGUAGGCGGCCAACUAAGUCAUACGUGAAAUCCCUCAGCUUAACUGGGGAACUGCGUGUGAUACUGGAUGGCUUGGAUUUGGGAGAGGGAUGCGGAAUUCCAGGUGUAGCGGUGAAAUGCGUAGAUAUCUGGAGGAACACCGGUGGCGAAGGCGGCAUCCUGGACCGGCAUUGACGCUGAGGCGCGAAAGCCAGGGGAGCAAACGGGG